ensembl:miRNA Mir6972 microRNA 6972
GUUGGGCUGGAGGCACAGGGCAGAACAGGUUGUCUGUGGCUCCUUACUGUACCUGUCUCCAUAG